rnacentral:lncRNA from 1 species
UGUCUUUUUGUUUUAAUAUAUCUUAGAUCUAUUGAUACUUUUCUAUUUUUGACUGGCUUAUACAAACAAUUGCUUAUCUUCAGUCUGUUUCUCCAUUAUUAUUUCAAUCUAUGGUGUGAUGCCUAUUUUUUUUCUGCAAAGUGCUUAACAUAUUUCUUUACUGAGACAGGAAAAUAGGGUCUGGAGGCAGGGAACUGAAGGUCGAUUGACACUUCAGCUAUGACAGGAAAUAUCCUCUCCAUAGGACAUAUGCCGAAUAAAUGAGUUUAUAACUUUACUUCAUCCUCUUCACUUAUAUAGGGCAUACCCCAAGUAACCAAUGGAAUCUUCUAGAGGGUAUUUAAACUCCCAAAACUUCUGUAGCGGGGCCCUUAAGCCCCUACACUUGGGCCCACUCCCACAUUGUGAAAUGUACUUUCAUUUUCAAUAAAUCUCUUCAUUCCUUCCCAGCUUUGUUUGUGCGUUUUGUACAACUCUUUGUCCAAGAUGACAAGAACCUGGACACCCUCCACCGGUGACAUAUUUUGGUGAGCCAGCCAGGAGGAAAAGUCUUUCAGACGCUGAUUCCUGGUAGCUCAUCGGAAAUUGAGGACAAUUGGCUGGGGUCACUCCCAGGUACUGCAUGAAGGUCUAGGAAUGAAUGCGAAUAAUUGCCCGGCCCAAAAAGGGGAAGGACUUUUUAAAAAAUCUUUUCUGCAUGAUCCCUGAUCCCUACCUGCAGGGCAGCUCAGAGCAAACUCAAACAUGUUUCAGGACAAAGAGAAGUGGAAAACAGGUCUGUUACGUGCACUUAUGGGGUGUACUCUUAUUUGUGAAGAACUUUGCAGCCAGCCUUAUACAUGGAUAAGCUUACACUUUGAUAGAUAAAAGACGAAGGCCCAAUGUAGAGACCAUCGACAUUCAGAUGACCAUGCAACAAAGGUUCCAGCCAGUUCCAGAUGAAGACACCACCCCUGGCCAUCAAGAAGCUAACCCGCCUCCACCAGACAGAGCAGGGUGAGAGUUUCGUGAUCCCUAAUAGGAAGAGACUACGCCCGAAGCCAGCAUGAAGCAGUUACAGAAAAAAGACUAUCGGUUCCUCUGCCUCCCAUAAAGAUUUAUGGGAAUGACAUCUCUCAGUGGGGAAUGGGCAGGAAAAUAGGGUCUGGAGGCAAGGAACUUAAGGUCCAUAAAUAAUUUAGCUAUGUCAAGAAAUAUCCUCUCCACAAGGCGUACGCCGAGUAAAUGACUUUGUAACUUUACUUCAUCCUCUUCAUUUACAUAGGGCAUACCGCAAGUAACCAAUGGAAUCCCCAAGAGGGUAUUUAAACUCCCCAAAAUUCUGUAACUGGGCCCUUGAGCCCCUAUGCUCAGGCCUCCUCCCACAAUGUGGAGUGUACUUUCAUUUUCAAUAAAUCUCUUCAUCCCUUCCUUGCUUUGCUUGCGCAUUUUGUCCAAUUCUUGUUCAUGAUGCCAAGAACCUGCACACCCUCCACUGGUGACACUGAAGUCCACAUAUCUGAUGGUGGAGAUUAAUAUCCUAUUUGUCUAUUGUUAAUCAUGAUCUCUUUAUAUCAUUUAGUAAUUUUUUACAAGCUACCUUUUAAUAUCUUUUAGUAAUUUUUCAGGAAUAAGCCAGAUUAGAUCUAUAAACUUUUGACUUUUCAUCAAGAGAUGUACUAAAAAAGAUCAAUUCUUUCUGUUUUAAUUUGAUAAAAUUUCCAGGCAAAGCAUGGAUUAGAUUUUUUCAUUUCACAUGUAUAUGUUCUUUUACUGACACAAUUUAGCUAGAUGGUGUUUACUGUCAUCCUAAUAAUCAUCACUAAGUUCACUUAGGUAUUUAUCUUGAUUGGGUGGUUAUGCUACAGCAAUAAAUUAGCCAUAAUAUCUAAAUUGCUUAAAAGCAACAAUAUACUGCUCAUGAUAUAUAUUCAUCUAGGCUUGGUAGUGGUAAGAGCCUUCUGUUCUACCUAGUUUCCAAAGACCUAUGCGGAUAGAAACUGUAUUACCUGGAAUGUCACAAUUCACUGUGUGCCAGCUAGAAAAUCAUGUGGAUCUCUUCUAUGCUCUGUCUCAGAAGUGCUACACAUCACUCUGCCCAUGGUCCAUAGCCCAGAACCAGGCACAUACCCCUGCCUAAUUGCAAGACUUGAAAUACAAACGGGGUAUUUGAUGAGCAACAUUGUCUCUGCCUGGUUUGUGGAUUAUUUUGCACCUAUAUACUUACAUCCAACCCCUUUGACUAGAAUUGUUACUCAAAAGCAACAGCCAUAUUCCAAUUAUAAGUACUAUCCCAUUGAAUUUCCAGUGAUAAUAAUGAGAAAAUAUCUAUUUUUGUAAAAAUACCAGGUCCUUAGUUCAUUUGCAUAAUUUUGGUAUAUAGUGACUAAAGUUCUAUAUAUCAACAUCUCUAUAUCUCUAUAUGCACUUUGAGUGCAUUCUUUCCACAAUAAAUCUUUACAUGACAUACCUCUUUCUUUUACAAAAUCUAGUCUGUGUUUUGUUUGAGAAUUCCUGUCUCUGAUAAUUCAGUUUAAAAUUAUUUUGCUCAUAUAAGAAUGUUUUGUUGACUGCAUUAUUCUGAGUACUGCAAGAUCUAAUGUCUUUGGCAAUGAGAAUUUUAAAAUCCUAUUUUUAACUUUUCCACAGCCAUCUGUUCACUUCUCAUAAAUAUGUGUUCUUUCAAAUUUUAACUUUCAAUUGGAAAUGGUGAAUAUUCCACAUAUGUUCCUAAAUACUUGCAGUUACUAUUCCAUUGACUAAUUUGCUAAUCAAUAUCACUAGAAAGUAGUCAAGUUUUCUUUAUUCAUUUAUUUUGUAUGAAUUAGCUAAUGUAGCAAAUGUGCAUUUAGCAUUAACCUCAUGCCACACAUUAUAAUGGUGUUAGUUUAAUUCUCCCCAAGAUACUUUUUAAAAAGUAGGAGAGUAGAAAGUAAAGUACGAAUGGUUGACUGAGUACACACAUCUAUUUUAUUAUCUACUGAACUCCGAUCAAACGAACAGCAAUAUGACUUUUUAAUUAAUUAACCCACAAAAGUUAAAAGAAAAAGACAAAAUGAUCACAAUUGUGAAAGCUGGAAAGCAUUUAGAUGAGUAAAAAUGGCUAACAGAGCCAAUAGAUCUUAAUCAUAAGUCCACAAACAGACAACUCAGAACAAAAUUUCUUUUUUCUGUGAAUCACGAAAAUAACUAGGCAAUCCUAGACCAUCCUAGCCUCCUCAGGCCAAACUAAAGAGGACCAGAUGAAAACCUUUUCAAGAAUUUCUCCAGUAUUCAAAUCCCUUCAUCAGUUUUGCUCAAUAGGUGAUUUCUUGUUCCUGAUUUAUUUAUUUUUUUUAAUUACAGGCUUAUUCUAUGGAUUAACAAGUUAAUAAAAAGUAAUCAUAGAUUUUUCUU